AGAGUUUGAUCCUGGCUCAGAAUCAACGCUGGCGGCGUGCCUAACACAUGCAAGUCGAACGCGAAAGGGGCUUCGGCCCUGAGUAGAGUGGCGAACGGGUGAGUAACACGUGGGUGACCUACCUUCGAAUGGGGGAUAACGUCCCGAAAGGGACGCUAAUACCGCAUAAUAUCCUGUCCUUGAACGGAUGGAGAUCAAAGCCGGGGAUCGCAAGACCUGGCGUUUGAAGAGGGGCCCGCGUCCGAUUAGCUAGUUGGUGAGGUAACGGCUCACCAAGGCGACGAUCGGUAACCGGCCUGAGAGGGCGGACGGUCACACUGGGACUGAGACACGGCCCAGACUCCUACGGGAGGCAGCAGUGGGGAAUUGUUCACAAUGGGCGCAAGCCUGAUGACGCAACGCCGCGUGGAGGAUGAAGGUCUUCGGAUUGUAAACUCCUGUUGCCCGGGACGAAAAGCUUCGACCUAACACGUCGAAGUCUGACGGUACCGGGUGAGGAAGCCCCGGCUAACUCUGCGCCAGCAGCCGCGGUAAUACAGAGGGGGCAAGCGUUGUUCGGAAUUACUGGGCGUAAAGGGCGCGUAGGUGGCCUUCUAAGUCGAACGUGAAAUCCCUGGGCUCAACCCAGGAACUGCGUCCGAGACUGGGAGGCUUGAAUCCGGGAGAGGGAUGCGGAAUUCCAGGUGUAGCGGUGAAAUGCGUAGAUAUCUGGAGGAACACCGGUGGCGAAGGCGGCAUCCUGGACCGGUAUUGACACUGAGGCGCGAAAGCCAGGGGAGCAAACGGGAUUAGAUACCCUGGUAGUCC
rnacentral:rRNA from 1 species